rnacentral:pre_miRNA from 1 species
AUCUGAGAUCUAUGAGUUUUCCAACGAAGAAGAGGAGGAAGAAGACUUCUAGUUAAGUCUUCUUCCUCCUCUUCUUCGUUGGAAAACUCAUAAACC